GGUCUGAUAGUUCAGAUGGUUAGAAUACGUGCUUGUCACGCACAAGCUCCUGGGUUCAAAUCCCAGUCAGACCG
rnacentral:tRNA from 2 species